CUACUGCUUCAGGUGGACGAGGACGAGCCCUCCCUCAUUGCUACUGCGGCUGCCUACUCCCUCCUCCUACCCCCUAGCCUGGUGUGAGUGGUGGAGUUAAUGAGCCGGGAUGAAGUUCGAGAAGUUGCAUUACACCGUGUAAAUAUUAAUGAGCUGUGGAAGACAAGUGCACCGGGAAGUAAACCACUGUCUUUUGAUAGGGAUUUCUGGAGGUAACAUGCCUCUGAUUGUAUGCACUGAAUUUCAGAUG